AAGUGAACUCCCGAUCUAUUGGGUCCUUUUAGCGGAAAAGGAACAGAGAGAACUCAAAAGAAACCAUUGUCACUCUGCGUGUACAAAACGUGCGUUCAAAAUUGGAUAGGUAUGUUAAAAAUUAGACCAGAACAAUCCACGGACUCACAUAGCGCCUGAAAAAAAAAAUAAAACCGCUUUUCUUUUUGUAUGAAUAAUGUCUGGUCUAAAUGGUUGGAUUCAGAUGAUAAUGAUGCGAUGGAAAGCGAAAACCACCAUAAACUAGCAGGCAACCGCCUAAGACAAAAGAGUUUUUAGAGAGAGUGAGAACGAAAGAGAGAGAAAAUCAAAGGUUGUUUUCUCUUUUUUUUAUAAUUUUAUAAUAGCAGCCUAAUUAAAAGAGAAGAGAAAAGAAGCUGAUGAUGAUAGAAUAAAUUUUAGAGAACAAAAAGUUUCCAUCUCUGUAUAAUUCUUCAAAAGAAAUGAUGAAAGAGAAGAAAGAUCAAGUCAGAGAAAGAAGAGAAGAGAGUACUUCUGGUGUGUGUGAAUUGUGAUAUCAAUUUCAAAUCCAUAUUUAGCUCUUUCUUUUUCUUUGCUUGACAUUAAUAAGACUAGACUGAAUCUCUAUAUCCUUAUCCAUUUCAACUUCAAAAACCAUUAUCAUAUCAGCUAUAUAGAGAGAGGUAGUGGGUUUGUGUUUGAUUUUGGAUUCUGGAAAUGGAGACUCCGCCAGCGGAGGAGCUGCUGAGGAAGAUCCAGAAGCUGGAAGCAGAGCAAGCACGCCUAAAGCAGGAGAUGUCUAAGCUUAAGCUCACUAGCGAUUCAAAAUCGGAGCAGUACUUGCCGCACCGGCAGCAGCAGUCGCACCAGCGCUCCCAUUCCAUAUCGCCGCAGAGGACGGGACCUAGGAGAAGGUGCGGCGUCGGGGCGGGGUCGGGUUUCGAGACGGUUGCAUCUUGGAAGAAGGGUUCGACGUCUUUUAGGCAUUCGUCGCCGUUGCGGAGAGAAAGCCGGAGUACGAGUAGUACUGAUAGUACUAAUGCCGCUAAAGGAGCAAACUGCGGGCCAUCGGCUGUCAAGUUUACUGAUAAGCAAUAUUUGAAUAUGUUGCAGUCUAUGGGGCAGUCUAUUCAUAUUUUUGAUCUUAGUGGUCGUAUCAUUUAUUGGAACCGAACGGCUGAAAUCCUUUAUGGCUAUUCUGCGGCAGAGGCUCUUGGACAGGAUGCCAUUGAGCUACUUGUAGAUCCUCAGGAAUUUCCGGUGGCAAAUAAUAUAGUGCAUCGUGUCACCAUGGGGGAGAGGUGGACAGGGCAGUUUCCAGUCAAGAACAAGAUGGGAGAGAGAUUUGCAGCUGUUGCCACCAAUACUCCAUUCUUUGAUGAUGAUGGUACUGUGGUCGGGAUUAUCUGUGUGUCAAAUGAUUCAAGGCCGUUUCAAGAAAUGAGGGUUGCAAUGGCAGAUUCAAAGAAUUCAGAAGCAGAUUCAAGCUUUAGUCGGCCUAGAAGUAUGGUCACAACAAAACUUGGUCUUGAUUCUCAACAGCCUCUUCAAGCAGCAAUUGCAUCUAAGAUAUCAAAUUUGGCAUCCAAGGUGAGCAACAAGGUGAAGUCGAAAAUGCGGACGGGAGAUAAUAGCCUGGAUCGUGAAGGUGAGAGUGGCGAUAGUCAUCAAUCUGACCGUGGCUUCUCAGAUGCAGCUUUCUCUGACCUUAGGGAGGAUGCUAACUCAAGUGGAGCUAGCACACCCAGAGGAGAUCUGCAUCUGUCUCAUUUUGGUACAUUUUCUCAUGUUGAGGACAGGUCCCCAACAAAACUCUCUAGAGAUUCUGGUGAUGAUAGCGAAGGAAAAUCUGCAGUUCACAAGAUUAUAUCCUCAAAAGCUGAGGCUUGGAUAGGCAAGAAAGGAUUGUCAUGGCCCUGGAGAGGAAAUGAAAGCGAAGGCUCAGAUACAAGGAGCACCCGCGUUAUGUGGCCCUGGUUGCAAAAUGAUCAAGAGAGUGAAACAGUUCAUCUGAGGAGCCCUGCUUCAGGUGCAAAACCUGAAAGCCAGGCAAAUGAAAGUAAUCGGCCUACCAAUAAUGAGGCCUCUGGGUCCUGGUCCUCAGUUAAUGUUAACAGCACAAGCAGUGCAAGCAGCUGUGGAAGUACCAGCAGUAGUGCUAUUAAUAAGAUAGACAUUGACUCUGACUGCUUGGAUUAUGAAAUUUUGUGGGAAGACUUGAAAAUUGGAGAACAAAUUGGGCAAGGUUCUUGUGGGACUGUAUAUCAUGCCCUGUGGUAUGGAUCAGAUGUUGCUGUCAAGGUAUUCUCCAAGCAAGAAUAUUCAGAAGAUUUUGUUCUAUCUUUUAGACAAGAGGUGUCUCUUAUGAAAAGACUUCGACAUCCAAAUGUAUUGCUUUUCAUGGGAGCUGUCACUUCAUCUCAACGUCUCUGCAUUGUUACAGAGUUCCUUCCACGUGGAAGUUUGUUUCGCUUACUCCAGAGGAACACAACCAAACUGGAUUGGAGGCGGCGUGUCCAUAUGGCAUUGGAUAUAACACGGGGUAUGAAUUAUCUUCAUCAUUGCAAUCCACCUAUCAUUCAUCGUGAUUUGAAGUCUUCAAACCUUCUGGUUGAUAAGAACUGGAGUGUAAAGGUUGGUGAUUUUGGUCUAUCACGUCUAAAGCAUGAAACUUACCUGACAACUAAGACUGGGAAGGGAACGCCUCAAUGGAUGGCACCAGAAGUUCUACGUAAUGAACCCUCAGAUGAAAAGUCCGAUGUAUACAGCUUUGGAGUGAUACUGUGGGAAAUUGCAACUGAGAAGAUCCCUUGGGAUAAUCUCAACUCAAUGCAGGUGAUUGGAGCUGUAGGGUUCAUGAACCAAAGGUUAGAGAUCCCCAAAGAUGUGGAUCCACAAUGGGCUUCUAUAAUUGAGAGUUGCUGGCACAGUGAUCCUCAGUGCCGUCCAACAUUCCAGGAACUACUGGAAAAGCUUAAAGAUAUGCAAAGACAAUGCAACAUUCAAAUCCAGGCAGCCCGUUCUGCAGCUGGAGAUAACACACAAAAGGAAUUAUAGACCAAAAUUCUUUUCCUUCAGAUUUAGUUUCAUUGACAUGGCCACAGAAAGCAGCAGCAUUUUCUUUUACGGCUAUCAAUCCCUGGUUACAACAAUUGCCCACAGAUUGCCUCUCAAGGUUCGUGGUAUUGGCCCAUAAGCGGGCAGAAAAGGAAAGGAAGAAAGAAAAUGAGUGCAGCAGUGCAGUGUCAUUGGAGUUAUGCUGGUUGGCUUCAUGUAACCAUUGGUAAUUUUGCGAGAGAUGCUUAGGACCACUUGGAGAAGUUGUUCAGAAAACACAAUUUUCAAUUUGAUAAAAUAGAGUGGGAUAAAUAUCUUGAUUUAUUGAUA